UUCGAAGCAUUCACGUCUAAACAAGGGUACCAAUAGACUCAGCAGGUUACAAUGAGCAAGAACCUUACCUUUAAAGCUUCGAUGUGCCUGAAAUGGGGAGUUGGAAGCUUGUCCGUACGCAAAAGGGAAAGAGAGAGAGAGUCUGAGAGAGAUGAGAGGGUACGGGAGAGAAGAGAGGGAGUGAGUGUGGUGUGUGUGUGGUCCACGUGGGUCACCAAUCCAAAACCACAAAUAACCUCUAAGUCUCAAUAUGACACACACAUACACUACAGUCUCAACGUCUAAAGAUAAAACCGUCAUUUCAUGUCCUCGAGAAUAAAAUAAUGCACAUCUCCGGACGGGCUGUGACAGAAUGUGAUUGUGUAAAUUCUAGUAGAUAUGAGAAUGUAUCUUAGAUUCUUAUUAGGAGUAGAUUACCUAUUAAAUGUUGUAAUCCUAAAGGGAAAGGUUUUUAUCUAUCCUAUUACUAUAAAUAAAGACACAAUAGGGUGAAUAAAAAACACCUCACAAUUAAAUCACUCUCUCUUCUCCCUCAAUAUUGCCGGCCCCCUCUCUUUCUAAACCAUAGAUCGUUCAAUCAAAUAAGCCUACAACAUAUAUAUAUUUAAUGCAAUUAUUAUUUUAACGAUGAGAUGAUGAUUGUAUUAAUUAUUGUCAUAUGAUAAUUAUAUUAAAUAGAUGUAAAUAUAGUAACCAAUCCUAUAAAAAUAAAGAUUAAAUAAAAAAAAUAAAAGAACUUAAUUUACACCCACUUACGUAAGCAUAUUUAAGGAAAAACUCAAUUAUUUUUUUUUAAUUUUUAAUUUAAACAUAUUGACCAUUUUUCCAUCUCAACAAACUUUCCUCAUUUUGGUAAAUUGGUUAGCUGCCUUGCUAAGGUGGAUAUUUUGACUUUUUGUACUGCUCAUUUUACCCAUGUGAAUAACAAACAUUAAAUUUCUUAAGUAACCAAAAAGGGGAAGUGGAAUGCUACAUGGACUCUUUUAAAGUGAGACUAUCUCUAUCACUUCACAUUUUAACAUCAAUUUCUGUUUAUAACAUUAUAAUGUAAUUUCGUCUCCAAGAAAUUAAGCUUGAAGAGAACUUGACUUGGGGAAGUGCGGAACUUUAUAGAGAGUUGACAACAACCGUUUGUGUUUCUGUAAAAGAAUAAAUAAAUACAAAAUCUAGGAUAUAAGAUACACUAGGAGAAGUAUAAAACUCCAUGUAAAUAUAAACCGUAUAUGCAAAUAGUCUUGUAGGCUCUUCCAGAGUUUUAUCAUAACUCGUAAUUCUUUUAAGGCUAUGUUGCAACAACAUAAUUUAGGUUGAACUAACAAAAGUACUCACUGGGGCAAUAUUUACCAAAUUCAUCUAGAAUAGGUAUUGAGUACAUAUUUUGAGCUCUAGGCUCUAAAUUUUUUUUUUUUUUGAACAAACAAUAUUAACUACACUAAGGGAGUGGGGGAGAGGGUAAGCCUUAUAAUGGGCUAAUAAUAAUAUUGUUCAAAUUCGCCUUUGGCGAGAAUCAAACCUAAAACAUCUGACUUACAAGUGAAGAGGAAUACUACUAGACUAUAGUACUAAGUGACAGCUCUAGGCUCUUAAAGUGAAAUCUUUGAAUAAGAAUUUCAUGGAAUUCUCUAUUCUUUAUAAAAUUGCUUCAAAAAAGAUAUAAAAAUGAUAAUCUCAAGUAGUAUGCAAUUUGCACAUGCUAUGAGCCUCAUGUUUAAAAUGACACUGUAUUUAUAGAUGUGUUUACGAUUAAAAUAGUAGACUAUAUCUCUAUUAAGAAGCUUGUCAUAGUGAUUUUAUUUCACUUCAUGAAUAACUUUAGGAGUUCAAACUAUAGGUUCACUUAUUUCACGUUUUUCAAUGACUCUCAAAAAUAGAAUUUGCCUCUUCAAUUUGUGAUCCAACAAUUCUCAUCCGCAUGCAUAUGCUUAAUUCAUAAGUAUUCAUUGCUUGGAUACAAUGCCUCUCCGGGGCUUCCAUUGUAACAUCUAGGACAAAAAUCUUAAGAUGAAUUACUUUGAGAAUUGGAUCAUAACCUCCUAUGGAGUGUUAUUUUCACUUAGGGCAUGAACUUUAUUAAUCUCCACUCAUAGGGAGUUCAAAGUUUAAAACCUACAUAUUUGUCAUGCUUUAGACAUGCAACAGAACUAUCAUUGUCACUUGUGACUUAUAUACGGUUUGGAUAAGACAAAUGCGGAUGUAUCAACACUAAUUUUCGACGCUCUUUGAAAAUUGCCACUUCUCCCCCUAACAUCGGGAAUAUUGUUUCAUGGGAGCAAUCAUUGUAAGGAUGUACACAAUGCAUUAUCUUGGGGCCUCAGAAUAUGUCCAUACAAAUUUGUAAAAAAUCCUACACGUUAUUUUGAUGUUAAAUUACCAAGAUAAUCAUGAUAUGAUUUGGUCAGCGAAGUCCUGGUUCAUGACAAGCAUACACUACUUAUAUGAUUGUACGAUACAACUCAUAAAAGAAGGUAGAAGCUUCUUUUGGGAAAAUUGAACUGAAUAGAAUUGAAAUACAAUUCAAGAUAGAAAUAAAUUCAACUAACGAAUUCAUAACAACAUAAGAAAAUUAAAAUAAACAAAAUCAAUCAACAUAAUAAAAUUAAAUGAAGAGCCAAGCUACCGGGUUUCAAGGUGGGAGAUAAAACUCAACCACUAAAAAUGAAAUAAAAUGAUUUUUCCAUAUGUAGGGAGAAGUCUUAUACCUCACAGUGGGAUAUAUCCACUGAGUUCAAACUUAUGGGAGAUUGAAAAAUUGUCUUAACCAUUUUUUACUGUUUUAAUCAAGACUUGGUAAAAAUACACCAAACGUUUGAUGUGUGGCAGAGUUGUGCUUAAUGCCUAAUUUCAAUAUUAUAAGUACUAUAAAAAAAAAUUGUAUGGUUUAGUUAUGCAAUUAAAACUCGAGGAACCGUAGGCCCUCAAUUAUUUAGAAUCAAUGAACUUUAGGUUUCAGUUCAUUUCAAUAAUUUGUAAUCUAGGAUGUGUAAUUUCAUUCCUAGUCACAAACAAAUUUAUCUUAUCAGAGUCAAGAAAAAAAAAAAUACUCAACGUGUGAUGGGACCACUGAGUCUUACAUAUACCCAUUUGGCUUUGGUUGCAAUGAACAGUAUGCUCCCAAUUGCUUGAAUAUUUAAAUUCAUGUUAUAUGAGGUUGCAUGCCCUCCUAUGAUCAAUGGACUAAAGUUCGGUUCUCGUUAUAAGAUGAGAAUUAGAGGGACUAAAGUAUGUAUGAUACAAUCAAUGGACUAAAGUACGGUUCACAAUUUCAACUAUAUGUAGAAUUACAAAAUUUUUUAGUAAAAUAGUUUGUAUUGUUUUUAACAGAAUCAGUUUUCAACCUACAAACUCGCAAGAUCCAGGCCGCCAGAAUCCCCAAUACCAGUCAUCAAACUCGAGAUGCAGCUUGCGACUCAAUCACCAUCGAGCUUUAGCCAACACAAGGUUGCCACCACUUUUAGUUCGUAACUCGCAUCCACGACAUGUCUUUGAAACAAAAAUUGCAAUGGCUUUCAAUAAUCCAAAACUUGUUCUCCUUCUGCAACUCGCAAAAACUAAGCUCCAGCCCACUGAAACUUUAAAAAUCCAAGGUCAUACGCACCUUGCCUCAAGCUCGUCGCCACAACCCGCAUUGUCAGCCUUUCGUCAGCCCAUUUCAAGUAUGCAAACAACAUGGCGUAGCCUCGGCAAUUUGCACAUCAG
rnacentral:lncRNA from 1 species